GAUCUCUGCCUUGACUCAUUUUGAGGGAGCCUUAUUUUAAGCAUAUGAGCAUAUGUCACAUUCACAACUUUCUGAAGCAUACUGAGCUUACAUUUCAUGUGGGGCAACCUUUUGCAGCGAUGGUCCUCAUGCUCAUGCGUCUAUCCAUUGAGAGUGUAAGCAACGAGUCCUUCAACAAAAUUUCUGAAACCAUUGACUCUGUCAUCAUUUGGUAAUAGUGAAAUUCCAACAAGACCAUAAUCCAAUUAGGACUCUCGCAGUCUUGAAUACAGACCAGAUCAAAACUUAUGGGAACAAACAUGGUUUCAUGUUCAAGGAAAAAGAGGACCCUAUUUCUGUGGGAUGAGGAAGAAAAAAGACAUGGAGGGAAAAGGGGGCUCAAAGGAGGUAGCCAUGAUCUGAGAAAGAGAAAAGGGAAAAACGUACAGUGGCAAUUAGCCCAAUUAAAUAGAAAGAGGGGCACAGUAGAGGCAUGAUGUUUGGUGGGUAGUGUGUAGUGAUGGAUGAUGGUAGAGUGGAAGCAAUACUGAUGCUUACUGCCACUAUUUUGGAUGGGUACCAACUGCAUCAUUUUAUCUUUCUCUUUUUACUGUAAAAAAGUUGCAGGAAAAUGAUUUAGCAAAACUACAAUCUCUCCGUC